AGCAGCCGCGGUAAUUCCAGCUCCAAUAGCGUAUAUUAAAGUUGUUGCAGUUAAAAAGCUCGUAGUUGAACCUCGGGAUCAAUGGAUCGGUCAUGCCAUCGGUAUGUACUGGUCUCAUUGGUUCUCACCUUCUAAGGAACCAUGAUGUCGUUCAGUUGAUGUUGUGGGGAAUUAGGACUGUUACCUUGAAAAAUUAGAGUGUUUAAAGCAGGCUAACGCUUGAAUACAUUAGCAUGGAAUAAUGAAAUAGGACAUCGCAUUCUAUUUUGUUGGUUUCUAGGAUCGAUGUAAUGAUUAAUAGGGAUAGUUGGGGCAUUAGUAUUCAAUUGUCAGAGGUGAAAUUCUUGGAUUUAUUGAAGACUAACUACUGCGAAAGCAUUUGCCAAGGAUGUUUUCAUUAAUCAAGAACGAAAGUUAGGGGAUCGAAGACGAUCAGAUACCGUCGUAAGU
rnacentral:rRNA from 1 species